rnacentral:ncRNA from 2 species
GGACCCCGCGCGGGAGAGUCCCCCAGGAGCCGGACGGGCAUUGCCCCGACGGAUCCGUCGGGGGCGCCGAAGGAGCAAAUCCUCCCCGGAAUCUCUCAGGCACACGUACCGCGCGGACGAG